rnacentral:tRNA from 1 species
GCCCUCUAGCUCAGUCAGCAGAGCAUGAGACUCUUAAUCUUAGGGUUGUGCGUUCAUGCCCCAUGCAGGGCA